rnacentral:rRNA from 1 species
AACGAACGCUGGCGGCAUGCCUAACACAUGCAAGUCGAACGAGACCUUCGGGUCUAGUGGCGCACGGGUGCGUAACGCGUGGGAACCUGCCUUUAGGUUCGGAAUAACUCAGAGAAAUUUGAGCUAAUACCGGAUGAUGUCUUCGGACCAAAGAUUUAUCGCCUUUAGAUGGGCCCGCGUUGGAUUAGCUAGUUGGUGGGGUAAAGGCCUACCAAGGCGACGAUCCAUAGCUGGUCUGAGAGGAUGAUCAGCCACACUGGGACUGAGACACGGCCCAGACUCCUACGGGAGGCAGCAGUGGGGGAUAUUGGACAAUGGGCGAAAGCCUGAUCCAGCAAUGCCGCGUGAGUGAUGAAGGCCUUAGGGUUGUAAAGCUCUUUUACCCGAGAUGAUAAUGACAGUAUCGGGAGAAUAAGCGCCGGCUAACUCCGUG